AAGUCGUAACAAGGUCUCCGUUGGUGAACCAGCGGAGGGAUCAUUACGAAAGGAGUAUUCCGUACUCUUCAACCCUUUGUGAACUUACCUAUUGUCAGUUGCUUCGGCGGGAGGCCCCUGGGAGGGGCCCCGGGGCCCGGUCCUGAGCCGGGCUCCCGCCGGAGGAGCGCAACCAAAACUCUUGCUGUACCUCAGUGGCACCUCCGAGUAAAAAAAAAUAAAAAACAAGUUAAAACUUUCAACAACGGAUCUCUUGGUUCUG
rnacentral:misc_RNA from 1 species